ACCCACGUGGCCUAAUGGAUAAGGCGUCUAACUUCUAUGCAGAAGAUUGUCGGUUCGACCCCGAACGUUGGUG
rfam:Angiostrongylus cantonensis strain Taiwan genome assembly, scaffold: ACAC_contig0005317